rnacentral:rRNA from 1 species
UACGGGGGGGGGCAAGCGUUGUUCGGAAUUACUGGCGUAAAGGGCGCGUAUGGUGGCCUAUUAAGUCGGGAUGUGAAACUCUGGGCUCAACCCAGAGCCUGCAUUCGAUACUGAUGGGACUGAGAUGUCGUGGGAGGGGGAAAAGCGGAAUUCCGUGGUGUAGGCGGUGAAAAUGCGCGAUAUCAGGAGGAACACCGGUGGCGAAGGCGGUUCUCUGGGCCAUUACUGACGCUGAGGAGCGAAAGCGUGGGGAGCAAACAGG